GACCAGAAUGGGGAGAAAGGACCAGAUGGCUGUGAAAUGCCACAGACAGUGUGUGACUGGGCUGAGCCACUGAAGACCUACCUGAUGAGGUUAACAGCUGACUGGGGGUGCCAGGAGCAGAGAGUGAGUGUGCAGGUUUGUACCUGACCGACAGGAGGUGCUCACAAGAGCUAACAUCUGGAUGCAGUUGCUGUAAAAAUUUGUUGCAGAACAAGCUCUCCAUCUGCCAAACUCUGUCUAUUAUUAGUGACAAGAAACAGGAAGAUGUAAUGUGUGCAAAGCACUCAGACAUGACAGUGAUGGGUGAAAUAAGAGCAUCAAUGGAAGCAUCACUACCAUGGCUGAACACAAGGCCGUAGUUUGGAUGGAAAAAAUAAAGUGAAUUACAGCAUUUGAAACAUUAUUUUGAGCAUGCUAGUCAGGUAGUUAGCAUACCAAUUUCUUCCCAUCUAUCCGGUUUGCUCAUCUGCUCAUGCAACUGAUUGGUCAUACAAAACACGAAGAUGGUUUGAAGCCCCAUUGAAAAUAGGUCUGCUUCUCUAUUUUUAUGCUAUUACUGUUUGAGAAGAUAGUCAUCCAAAUCCAUUGAAGUUAGUGGGAGUUUUGCUUAAGGACUAAAAGAAUGCAGAAUAGGUCCAGUCAUUUGAAGAAAAAGAAACUACAUUAUUUACUAUGUCUGACAGUAUACCUUAGUACUGCACACUAUUUUCAGAGGAAAACAUAUUUCAAGUUUCCAUAAUACUGUUAUCUAUAGUAGAUAGCCUUUGCUUUCAAGCUGACUUUAUUUUUUUGAAA